GUGAGCAAGGAAAAUGGCAGUCCAUAUAAAUACGGUUGUAACUUCUUUAGGGCCCACACCACAGCCAGGCAUUCCUUCUCGAUGGCGGCGUAGCUUACUUCUCUGGAUAAUAACUUGCGACUGAUGUAAGCCAUGGGAUGUUCUCCCUCAUCUGCCCCGACUUGGCUCAGUACUGCCCCCAAGCCAAACAUAGAAGCUUCUGUGUGAACAAGAAAACGUUUAGUUGGAUUGGGAGCUGCCAUGACAGGGGCAUAGAUAAGUGCAUUUUUCAUAUGUUGGAAUGCCUUCUCACACUCCGGGGUCCAGGUUACUUGGCGGGGAAGGUUCUUACCGGUAAGGGGUUUGGCCAGGGCGCUUUAAUUGGGGACAAACUUCCUAUAAUACCC